AUACGUAGGUGGCGAGCGUUGUCCGGAAUUAUUGGGCGUAAAGCGCGCGCAGGUGGGAUCUUAAGUCUGUUUUUAAAGUGCGGAGCUUAACUCCGUGAAGGGAUGGAAACUGGGAUUCUUGAGUACCGGAGAGGAAAGCGGAAUUCCCCGUGUAGCGGUGAAAUGCGUAGAUAUGGGGAGGAACACCAGUGGCGAAGGCGGCUUUCUGGACGGUGUCUGACACUGAGGCGCGAAAGCCAGGGGAGC
rnacentral:rRNA from 1 species